rnacentral:piRNA from 1 species
CACAGAAAUGACCUACAAAG